AGCAGCCGCGGUAAUUCCAGCUCCAAUAGCGUAUAUUAAAGUUGUUGCAGUUAAAAAGCUCGUAGUUGAAUUUCGGGAUCAAGUCGUCGGUCGUGCCUCGGUACGCACUGGUGACAUUGGUUUCUCCCUUCUGAAGAACCUUGAUGUCAUUAAUUUGGUGUCUUGGGGAAUCAGGACUGUUACUUUGAAAAAAUUAGAGUGUUUAAAGCAGGCUCACGCUUGAAUACAUUAGCAUGGAAUAAUGAAAUAGGACGUUUGAUUCUAUUUUGUUGGUUUCUAGGAUCGACGUAAUGAUUAAUAGGGAUAGUUGGGGGCAUUAGUAUUCAAUUGUCAGAGGUGAAAUUCUUGGGUUUAUUGAAGACUAACUACUGCGAAAGCAUUUGCCAAGGAUGUUUUCAUUAAUCAAGAACGAAAGUUAGGGGAUCGAAGACGAUCAGAUACCGUCGUAGU
rnacentral:rRNA from 1 species